rnacentral:lncRNA from 1 species
AAUUAUUACUUGGACACAAGCCCUUUGAAACCACCUGACUGUACCAGUAUAACCCAUACCUUGGAAACUACCAUCCACUAGAUAGAAUCAGCUAAGGACUAUCAAUUCUGUCAAAAGCAGGUGAGUAAGUGUACAGUCAGGUUUUUUCAGUCCAAUGCUGUCUUUCCAAUGCCCUUAAUGAAGAGAGGGCUAGGACAUUUUAAAGACUAGGUAUUCUCAAUGAUAGUUGAACACGUGAGUCUACGAUCAUACAGG